GACGAACGCUGGCGGCGUGCUUAACACAUGCAAGUCGAACGGAAAGGCCCUGCUUUUGUGGGGUGCUCGAGUGGCGAACGGGUGAGUAACACGUGAGUAACCAGCCCUUGACUUUGGGAUAACUUCAGGAAACUGGGGCUAAUACCGGAUAGGAGCUCCUGCUGCAUGGUGGGGGUUGGAAAGUUUCGGCGGUUGGGGAUGGACUCGCGGCUUAUCAGCUUGUUGGUGGGGUAGUGGCUUACCGAGGCUUUGACGGGUAGCCGGCCUGAGAGGGUGACCGGCCACAUUGGGACUGAGAUACGGCCCAGACUCCUACGGGAGGCAGCAGUGGGGAAUAUUGCACAAUGGGCGGAAGCCUGAUGCAGCAACGCCGCGUGCGGGAUGACGGCCUUCGGGUUGUAAACCGCUUUCGCCUGUGACGAAGCGUGAGUGACGGUAAUGGGUAAAGGAGCACCGGCUAACUACGUG
rnacentral:rRNA from 1 species